UGGGGAAUAUUGCGCAAUGGGCGGAAGCCUGACGCAGCGACGCCGCGUGAGCGAUGAAGGCCUUCGGGUCGUAGAGCUCUGUUGGAAGGGAACGAAAACGUCCAUGGUUAAUAUCCAUGGGCCCUGACGGUACUCUUCCAGAAAGCACCGGCUAACUCCGUGCCAGCAGCCGCGGUAAUACGGAGGGUGCUAGCGUUGUUCGGAAUCAUUGGGCGUAAAGCGCGGGUAGGCGGGGCGGCGUGUCGGAUGUGAAAGCCCGCGGCUUAACCGAGGAAUUGCAUCCGAAACUGUCGCUCUUGAGUACGGGAGAGGGAAGCGGAAUUUCCAGUGUAGAGGUGAAAUUCGUAGAUAUUGGAAGGAACACCGGUGGCGAAGGCGGCUUCCUGGACCGAUACUGACGCUGAGACGCGAAAGCGUGGGUAGCAAACA
rnacentral:rRNA from 1 species